rnacentral:lncRNA from 1 species
GGACCUAAUAGGAACUGACAAACAAGAGACAACAAGAACAAACAAGAAAGUUCUCAAGUGCCCUGUGGAAUUGGCCAAGGAGAUUUGCAGCACAGCAGGCCAAGCCUGCACAGCUGAAGAGCAGUGGAAGAUGGCACUUUUAUCUGAAGCUUGUGGACCCCU